rnacentral:rRNA from 1 species
AUUGAACGCUGGCGGCAUGCCUUACACAUGCAAGUCGAACGGCAGCACGGGAGCAAUCCUGGUGGCGAGUGGCGAACGGGUGAGUAAUAUAUCGGAACGUGCCCAGUAGUGGGGGAUAACCCGGCGAAAGUCGGACUAAUACCGCAUACGACCUACGGGUGAAAGCAGGGGAUCGUAAGACCUUGCGCUAUUAGAUGAGCUUGCGUCCGAUUAGCUAGUUGGUGGGGUAAAGGCCUACCAAGGCGACGAUCGGUAACUGGUCUGAGAGGAUGAUCAGUCACACUGGAACUGAGACACGGUCCAGACUCCUACGGGAGGCAGCAGUGGGGAAUAUUGGACAAUGGGGGCAACCCUGAUCCAGCCAUGCCGCGUGUGUGAAGAAGGCC